UUCAAAAGUAGUGCACUAUAUAGGGAAUAGGUUUCCAUUCGGGACAUGAAAUUGACUGCGGCUACACAGACAAAGAAGCAGAAGAGAAGAGGUCCCUUAUAGAAAUAGAUUUGAAGGCGUGUCAUUCAGCUCGGUUCAGCUGUAAAGGCUUGGAGCAGAACGAAACAGAAGAGGUCCCU